AACGAACGCUGGCGGCGUGGAUAAGACAUGCAAGUCGAACGGGAUACUGUGAGUAGCAAUACAAGCAGUGUCUAGUGGCGAACGGGUGCGUAACACGUGGAUACAUUCCGGGAAGCGGGGGAUAGCCCAGGGAAACUUGGAUUAAUACCGCAUGUGAUCGAGAGAUCAAAGACGGGGACCGCAAGGCCUGUCACUUCCCGAUUGGUCCGCGGCCUAUCAGCUAGUUGGCGGGGUAAAAGCCCACCAAGGCGACGACGGGUAGCUGGUCUUAGAGGACGACCAGCCACACUGGAACUGAGACACGGUCCAGACACCUACGGGUGGCAGCAGUCGAGAAUCUUUCACAAUGGGGGCAACCCUGAUGGAGCGACGCCGCGUGGAGGAUAAGGUCUUCGGAUUGUAAACUCCUGUCAUGCGAGAACAAGGUUGCAGGGAUAAUACCUUUGCAAAUUGAUGUACCG
rnacentral:rRNA from 1 species